rnacentral:misc_RNA from 1 species
GAUGAAGAACGCAGUGAAAUGCGAUAAGUAGUGUGAAUUGCAGAAUUCAGUGAAUCAUCGAAUCUUUGAACGCACAUUGCGCCCCUUGGUAUUCCAUGGGGCAUGCCUGUUCGAGCGUCAUUUGUACCCUCAAGCUCCGCUUGGUGUUGGGCGUCUGUCCCGCUUCGCGCGCGGACUCGCCCCAAAGGUAUUGGCAGCGGUCGUGCCAGCUUCUCGCGCAGCACAUUGCGCUUCUCGAGGCACCGGUGGGCCCGCGUCCAUCAAGCUCACCCCCCCAGUUUGACCUCGGAUCAGGUAGGGAUACCCGCUGAACUUAAGCAUAUCAAUAAGCGGAGGA